rnacentral:rRNA from 1 species
GGACUGCAGUCUGCAACUCGACUGCACGAAGCUGGAAUCGCUAGUAAUCGCGAAUCAGAAUGUCGCGGUGAAUACGUUCCCGGGUCUUGUACACACCGCCCGUCACACCAUGGGAGUCGGUAACGCCCGAAGUCAGUGACCCAACCGCAAGGAGGGAGCUGCCGAAGGCGGGACUGGUAACUGGGGUGAAGUCGUAACAAGGUACC